GACAGAGGGGGCAAGCGUUGCUCGGAAUUACUGGGCGUAAAGGGCGCGUAGGCGGGAUGGCAAGUCGGUCGUGAAAUCCCUCGGCUCAACCGAGGAACGUCGAUCGAUACUGCUGUUCUUGAGGAUUGCAGAGGAGACUGGAAUUCCCGGUGUAGCGGUGAAAUGUGUAGAGAUCGGGAGGAACACCAGUGGCGAAGGCGGUUAGCUGGCCUGUAACUGACGCUGAGGCGCGAAGGCUAGGGGAGCGAACAGG
rnacentral:rRNA from 1 species